rnacentral:rRNA from 1 species
CAGCAGCCGCGGUAAUACAGAGGGUGCGAGCGUUAAUCGGAUUUACUGGGCGUAAAGCGUGCGUAGGCGGCUUUUUAAGUCGGAUGUGAAAUCCCUGAGCUUAACUUAGGAAUUGCAUUCGAUACUGGGAAGCUAGAGUAUGGGAGAGGAUGGUAGAAUUCCAGGUGUAGCGGUGAAAUGCGUAGAGAUCUGGAGGAAUACCGAUGGCGAAGGCAGCCAUCUGGCCUAAUACUAACGCUGAGGUACGAAAGCAUGGGGAGCAAACAGGAUUAGAUACCCCGGUAGUCCCUGUCUCUUAUAC